UACGUAGGGUCCGAGCGUUGUCCGGAAUUACUGGGCGUAAAGAGCUCGUAGGUGGUUUGUCGCGUUGUUCGUGAAAACUCACAGCUCAACUGUGGGCGUGCGGGCGAUACGGGCAGACUGGAGUACUGCAGGGGAGACUGGAAUUCCUGGUGUAGCGGUGAAAUGCGCAGAUAUCAGGAGGAACACCGGUGGCGAAGGCGGGUCUCUGGGCAGUAACUGACGCUGGAGGAGCGAAAGCGUGGGGAGCGAACAGG
rnacentral:rRNA from 1 species